rnacentral:tRNA from 1 species
AGGUCGUUAGCUCAGUGGUAGAGUAGCGGACUUUUAAUCCGUUUGUCACAGGUUCAAGUCCUGUACGACCUA